UGCCAGCAGCCGCGGUAAUACAGAGAUGGCAACCGUUGUUCGGAAUCACUGGGCUUAAAGCGCACGCAGGCGGACGAUUAAGUCAGCUGUGAAAGACCACGUCUCACACGUGGGAGGUCAGCUGAUACUGAUAGUCUUGAGGGUGUCAGGGGAGAGUGGAAUUCCUGGUGGAGCGGUGAAAUGCGUUGAUAUCAGGAGGAACGUCGGAGGCGAAGGCGACUCUCUGGGACACGCCUGACGCUGAGGUGCGAAAGCUAGGGGAGCAAACGGGAUUAGAUA
rnacentral:rRNA from 1 species